rnacentral:rRNA from 1 species
AAUGCGGGGCGGGGGCCUAACAAAUGGCAAGUCGAGCGGAUGACGGGAGCUUGCUCCUUGAUUCAGCGGCGGACGGGUGUAGUAAUGCCUAGGAAUCUGCCUGGUAGUGGGGGACAACGUUUCGAAAGGAACGCUAAUACCGCAUACGUCCUACGGGAGAAAGCAGGGGACCUUCGGGCCUUGCGCUAUCAGAUGAGCCUAGGUCGGAUUAGCUAGUUGGUGAGGUAAUGGCUCACCAAGGCGACGAUCCGUAACUGGUCUGAGAGGAUGAUCAGUCACACUGGAACUGAGACACGGUCCAGACUCCUACGGGAGGCAGCAGUGGGGAAUAUUGGACAAUGGGCGAAAGCCUGAUCCAGCCAUGCCGCGUGUGUGAAGAAGGUCUUCGGAUUGUAAAGCACUUUAAGUU